CUUCCUCCCUCCCCCACAACCUCCACUUCAAAGGUAUUCCUGCCCUUCUGUCCACCUCUCCACCUUCAUCCUCCCCCACCAGUGCCAUCUCCUAGAGCUGAAGACUGGCGACUGAGAGGGAUGCACCCUGGCUGCAGAGUGACUUCACGGGAGCCAUCGUGACUGUUGAAUUGGAUUCAGGCAAGAUGCACCACUGGGCAAAUUUUAUUAUGAGCUCUACGUGCCAGGAACUUCCAAUAUCUGUCAUCUGAGAAAGCCCCAGCGUGUUGAGACAGGAGCCAAGCUCUGCCCUGUAAGCCAGGUGAAACCAAAGCACCGAGGGCACCUGUAUGUGUGCCCACUAUGGUUUACUUUAGGGGGCUGGAGCUGUGGUGCAUUGGAUUAAAGCCCUGGCCUGAAGCACCAGCAUCCCAUAUGGGCGCCAGUUUGAGUCCCGGUUGCUUUACUUUUGAUCCAGCUCUCUGCCAUGGCCUGGGAAAGCAGAGGAAGAUGGCCCAAGUCCUUGGGCCUCUGCACCCAUGUGGGAGACCCGGAGGAAGCUCCUGGCUUCGGAACAGUGCAGCUCCGGCCAUGAGGCCAU